rnacentral:sRNA from 1 species
UCAGAAACAGAAACUCAAAAUGCGAUACACAUUUUUUUUUGCGUUGCUCCGACCCAAACCCCAAUUAAAAUUGUGAUUAUGAUGAGGCACACAGAGCAGAAAGAAACACAGCUACAGAGAAACAGAGAGGGAGAGAGAGAAGCGGGAGAAGCAAAGUCGCUCUAUAAUGCAUACUGCACUUAACGCCGAUGACACAUGCGCCGAGAGUUUGUCCACAAACCCCCAAGCCCAACAAGCCAAAGAGUUGCCUCUUCUUGGUGAAAGAAACCCAACCGCAGAUAAGCAGCAAAGAAGACACUAAAUCGUAUGCGAUAGCAGAAAUAACAACAGCAACAAAAACUCAGGAGAAAAAACAAUUUAGACAAAGUGGUUAUCAACUAUUAGAUACCCUGUAAGUUCAGAGUAUUAAAUGAGAGAAACUAAUAAAAAGAAGUUUGAUGUAUCGACUUACCGCAUAUAUUUUAACUGAAAUAUACAGCAUCUGAAAGAAUAUAAAUUGUAUUGCCCUUCAAGACCAUUUGUGUUCUUUGCGUAUGCAACAGUCUUCGUAAGCGAUAAAUAUUUUGAUAUACCCUGUAAAAAAUAAAUUUCC